rnacentral:rRNA from 1 species
GAUGAACGCUGGCGGCGUGCCUAAUACAUGCCAGUCGAGCGAACGGACGAGAAGCUUGCUUCUCUGAUGUUAGCGGCGGACGGGUGAGUAACACGUGGAUAUCCUACCUAUAAGACUGGGAUAACUUCGGGAAACCGGAGCUAAUACCGGAUAAUAUUUUGAACCGCAUGGUUCAAAAGUGAAAGACGGUCUUGCUGUCACUUAUAGAUGGAUCCGCGCUGCAUUAGCUAGUUGGUAAGGUAACGGCUUACCAAGGCAACGAUGCAUAGCCGACCUGAGAGGGUGAUCGGCCACACUGGAACUGAGACACGGUCCAGACUCCUACGGGAGGCAGCAGUAGGGAAUCUUCCGCAAUGGGCGAAAGCCUGACGGAGCAACGCCGCGUGAGUGAUGAAGGUCUUCGGAUCGUAAAACUCUGUUAUUAGGGAAGAACAUAUGUGUAAGUAACUGUGCACAUCUUGACGGUACCUAAUCAGAAAGCCACGGCUAACUACGUG